UUAAAACAAGGACUCCGUGUUACACUCUGCUGUGCCCUACCUAGCUCUGAGAGGAACGAUCAUACAGAGCAUGAUUCCACGUCGACACCUCACACAUGAGAAACAUGACGAGACACUGGUAACAAUCACCCACCAGUGCGAAGAUUAUGAAAGAUGUGAGAGCAUGGAGCUUGAUGACAAAAUCCGGGAUCUGAUAGCAGGUGGCCCAGAGACCACAGCAAGCCACAGAAAUGUCCAU